rnacentral:rRNA from 1 species
GCAAGUCGAGCGGUAACAGAGAGAAGCUUGCUUCUCUGCUGACGAGCGGCGGACGGGUGAGUAAUGCCUGGGAAAUUGCCCUGAUGUGGGGGAUAACCAUUGGAAACGAUGGCUAAUACCGCAUGAURSYUUCGRSUCAAAGAGGGGGACCUYCDGGCCUCUCGCGUCAGGAUAUGCCCAGGUGGGAUUAGCUAGUUGGUGGGGUAAAGGCUCACCAAGGCGACGAUCCCUAGCUGGUCUGAGAGGAUGAUCAGCCACACUGGGACUGAGACACGGCCCAGACUCCUACGGGAGGCAGCAGUGGGGAAUAUUGCACAAUGGGCGCAAGCCUGAUGCAGCCAUGCCGCGUGUAUGAAGAAGGCCUUCGGGUUGUAAAGUACUUUCAGUGGUGAGGAAGGGRGUGUGGUUAAUAGCCAUAUUCUUUGACGUUAGCCACAGAAGAAGCACCGGCUAACUCCGUGCCAGCAGCCGCGGUAAUACGGAGGGUGCGAGCGUUAAUCGGAAUUACUGGGCGUAAAGCGCAUGCAGGUGGUUUGUUAAGUCAGAUGUGAAAGCCCGGGGCUCAACCUCGGAGUUGCAUUUGAAACUGGCAGGCUAGAGUACUGUAGAGGGGGGUAGAAUUUCAGGUGUAGCGGUGAAAUGCGUAGAGAUCUGAAGGAAUACCGGUGGCGAAGGCGGCCCCCUGGACAGAUACUGACACUCAGAUGCGAAAGCGUGGGGAGCAAACAGGAUUAGAUACCCUGGUAGUCCACGCCGUAAACGAUGUCUACUUGGAGGUUGCGGUCUUGAACUGUGGCUUUCGGAGCUAACGCGUUAAGUAGACCGCCUGGGGAGUACGGUCGCAAGAUUAAAACUCAAAUGAAUUGACGGGGGCCCGCACAAGCGGUGGAGCAUGUGGUUUAAUUCGAUGCAACGCGAAGAACCUUACCUACUCUUGACAUCCAGAGAAUCYUGCGGAGACGCGGGAGUGCCUUCGGGAGCUCUGAGACAGGUGCUGCAUGGCUGUCGUCAGCUCGUGUUGUGAAAUGUUGGGUUAAGUCCCGCAACGAGCGCAACCCUUAUCCUUGUUUGCC